GAUGAACGCUGGCGGCGUGCUUAAUACAUGCAAGUCGAGCGAAGCGGGGACGGGGGAGUAACACGUGGAUAACCUCCUAUAAGACUGGGAAUACCUCGGGAAACCGGUGCUAAUCCGGAAACGUAGAGAUGGACCCGCUGUGCAUUAGCUAGUUGGUAUGGUAACGGCUUACCAAGGCAACGAUGCAUAUCAGACCUGAGAGGUGGAUCGGCCACACUGUGACUGAGACACUGUCCAGACUCCUACGGGAGGCAGCAUUAGGGAAUUUUCCGCAAUGGGCGCAAGCCUGACGGAGCAACGCCGCGGGAGGGAUGAAGGUCUUCGGAUCGUAAAACUCUGUUAUUAGAGAAGCGGUACCUAAUCAGAAAGCCACGGCUAGCUACGUGCCAGCGGCCGCGGUAAUUC
rnacentral:rRNA from 1 species